AUUGAACGCUGGCGGCAGGCCUAAUACAUGCAAGUCGAGCGAAGCGGCGGAUGGGUGAGUAACGCGUGGGUAACCUGCCCUUAAGUCUGGGAUACCAUUUGGAAACAGAUGCUAAUACCGGAUACUAAAGGAUGGACCUGCGAUGCAUUAGCUAGUUGGUAAGGUAACGGCUGACCAAGGCGAUGAUGCAUAGCCGAGUUGAGAGACGGAUCGGCCACAUUGGGACUGAGACACGGCCCAAACUCCUACGGGAGGCAGCAGUAGGGAAUCUUCCACAAUGGACGAAAGUCUGACCGAGCAACGCCGCGUGAGUGAAGAAGGUUUUCGGAUCGUAAAACUCUGUUGUUAGAGAAGCGGUAUCUAACCAGAAAGCCACGGCUAACUACGUGCCAGCAGCCGCGGUAAUUC
rnacentral:rRNA from 1 species